AACGAACGCUGGCGGCAGGCUUAACACAUGCUAGUCGAACGCCCCGCAAGGGGAGUGGCAGACGGGUGAGUAACGCGUGGGAAUCUACCCAGUUCUACGGAACAACAGAGGGAAACUUCUGCUAAUACCGUAAACGCCCUAAGGGGGAAAGAUUUAUCGGAAUUGGAUGAGCCCGCGUAAGAUUAGCUAGUUGGUGAGGUAAUGGCUCACCAAGGCGACGAUCUUUAGCUGGUCUGAGAGGAUGAUCAGCCACACUGGGACUGAGACACGGCCCAGACUCCUACGGGAGGCAGCAGUGGGGAAUAUUGGACAAUGGGCGCAAGCCUGAUCCAGCCAUGCCGCGUGAGUGAUGAAGGCCUUAGGGUUGUAAAGCUCUUUCAGUAGGGAAGAUAAUGACGGUACCUACAGAAGAAGCCCCGGCUAACUUCGUGCCAGCCGCCGCCGUAA
rnacentral:rRNA from 1 species